rnacentral:rRNA from 1 species
GAUGAACGCUGGCGGCGUGCCUAAUACAUGCAAGUCGAGCGAACAGACGAGGAGCUUGCUCCUCUGACGUUAGCGGCGGACGGGUGAGUAACACGUGGAUAACCUACCUAUAAGACUGGGAUAACUUCGGGAAACCGGAGCUAAUACCGGAUAAUAUAUUGAACCGCAUGGUUCAAUAGUGAAAGACGGUUUUGCUGUCACUUAUAGAUGGAUCCGCGCCGCAUUAGCUAGUUGGUAAGGUAACGGCUUACCAAGGCAACGAUGCGUAGCCGACCUGAGAGGGGGGGGGCCCACAGGAGAAGUGAACCACGGCCCAGACCACAGGGGGGGGAGGGAGAGGGGAGUCUCCCUGAAGGGGGGAAGCCCUGAGGGAGAAACGCCGCGGGGGUAAGAAGGUUUUCCGUAUGGUAAACAUUUUUUAUAGGGAAAAAAAAAUGUUGAAAUAACUUUGCCGGGUUUUGAGGGUACCUAACAAAAAGGCCCGGGAUAACUACGUG